rnacentral:rRNA from 1 species
AUUGAUUUUAUGCUUGCAUAAAUGAUUUUUGGAUUCGGAGCGAGUGGCGAACUGGUGAGUAACACGUGGGUAACCUGCCCCGAAGCGGGGGAUAACAUUUGGAAACAAGUGCUAAUACCGCAUAAUUAGUUGGAACCGCAUGGUUCCAACUUGAAAGAUGGCUCUGCUAUCACUUUGGGAUGGACCCGCGCCGUAUUAGUUAGUUGGUGAGAUAAAAGCCCACCAAGACGAUGAUACGUAGCCGACCUGAGAGGGUAAUCGGCCACAUUGGGACUGAGACACGGCCCAGACUCCUACGGGAGGCAGCAGUAGGGAAUCUUCCACAAUGGACGAAAGUCUGAUGGAGCAACGCCGCGUGAGUGAUGAAGGUUUUCGGAUCGUAAAACUCUGUUGUUAAAGAAGAACAAGUGUUAGAGUAACUGUUAACACUUUGACGGUAUUUAACCAGAAAGCCACGGCUAACUACGUGCCAGCAGCCGCGGUAAUACGUAGGUGGCAAGCGUUGUCCGGAUUUAUUGGGCGUAAAGCGAGCGCAGGCGGUUUUGUAAGUCUGCUGUGAAAGCCCUCAGCUCAACUGAGGAAGUGCAGUGGAAACUACAAAACUUGAGUACAGAAGAGGAAAGUGGAACUCCAUGUGUAGCGGUGAAAUGCGUAGAUAUAUGGAAGAACACCAGUGGCGAAGGCGGCUUUCUGGUCUGUUACUGACGCUGAGGCUCGAAAGCAUGGGUAGCGAACAGGAUUAGAUACCCUGGUAGUCCAUGCCGUAAACGAUGGAUACUAGGUGUUGGAGGGUUUCCGCCCUUCAGUGCCGCAGCUAACGCAUUAAGUAUUCCGCCUGGGGAGUACGACCGCAAGGUUGAAACUCAAAGGAAUUGACGGGGGCCCGCACAAGUGGUGGAGCAUGUGGUUUAAUUCGAUGCUACGCGAAGAACCUUACCAGCUCUUGACAUCUUCUGCCAACCCAAGAGAUUGGGCGUUCCCUUCGGGGACAGAAUGACAGGUGGUGCAUGGUUGUCGUCAGCUCGUGUCGUGAGAUGUUGGGUUAAGUCCCGCAACGAGCGCAACCCUUAUUAUUAGUUGCCAGCAUUUAGUUGGGCACUCUAGUGAGACUGCCGGUGAUAAA